CCAACCGGGAUUGCCUUAGUAACGGCGAGUGAAGCGGCAAAAGCUCAAAUUUGAAAUCUGGCGUCUUCGACGUCCGAGUUGUAAUUUGAAGAAGGCGACUUUGUAGCUGGUCCUUGUCUAUGUUCCUUGGAACAGGACGUCAUAGAGGGUGAGAAUCCCGUGUGGCGAGGAUCCCAGUUAUUUGUAAAGUGCUUUCGACGAGUCGAGUUGUUUGGGAAUGCAGCUCUAAGUGGGUGGUAAAUUCCAUCUAAAGCUAAAUAUUGGCGAGAGACCGAUAGCGAACAAGUACAGUGAUGGAAAGAUGAAAAGAACUUUGAAAAGAGAGUGAAAAAGUACGUGAAAUUGUUGAAAGGGAAGGGCAUUUGAUCAGACAUGGCGUUUGCUUCGGCUUUCGCUGGGCCAGCAUCAGUUUUAGCGGUUGGAUAAAUCCUCGGGAAUGUGGCUCUGCUUCGGUAGAGUGUUAUAGCCCGUGGGAAUACAGCCAGCUGGGACUGAGGAUUGCGACUUUUGUCAAGGAUGCUGGCGUAAUGGUUAAAUGCCGCCCGUCUUGAAACACGGACCUCCUGUGUGAAGUGAU
rnacentral:rRNA from 1 species